rnacentral:rRNA from 1 species
UACGUAGGGGGCGAGCGUUGUCCGGAAUUAUUGGGCGUAAAGCGCGCGCAGGCGGUCCUUUAAGUCUGAUGUGAAAGCCCUCGGCUCAACCGAGGAGGGUCAUUGGAAACUGGAGGACUUGAGUGCAGAAGAGGAAAGUGGAAUUCCAAGUGUAGCGGUAAAAUGCGUAGAGAUUUGGAGGAACACCAGUGGCGAAGGCGACUUUCUGGUCUGUAACUGACGCUGAGGCGCGAAAGCGUGGGGAGCAAACAGG